rnacentral:rRNA from 1 species
GAUGAACGCUGGCGGCGUGCCUAAUACAUGCAAGUCGAGCGAACAGAUGAGGAGCUUGCUCCUCUGACGUUAGCGGCGGACGGGUGAGUAACACGUGGAUAACCUACCUAUAAGACUGGGUUAACUUCGGGAAACCGGAGCUAAUACCGGAUAAUAUAUUGAACCGCGUGGUUCAAUAGUGAAAGACGGUUUUGCUGUCACUUAUAGAUGGAUCCGCGCCGCAUUAGCUAGUUGGUAAGGUAACGGCUUACCAAGGCAACGAUGCGUAGCCGACCUGAGAGGGUGAUCGGCCACACUGGAACUGAGACACGGUCCAGACUCCUACGGGAGGCAGCAGUAGGGAAUCUUCCGCAAUGGGCGAAAGCCUGACGGAGCAACGCCGCGUGAGUGAUGAAGGUCUUCGGAUCGUAAAACUCUGUUAUUAGGGAAGAACAAAUGUGUAAGUAACUAUGCACGUCUUGACGGUACCUAAUCAGAAAGCCACGGCUAACUACGUG